GUAGGGGAGCGAGCGUUGUUCGGAAUCAUUGGGCGUAAAGAGCGCGUAGGUGGUUUGGCAAGUCUGUUGUGAAAGCCCAUGGCUCAACUGUGGAACUGCGACGGAAACUGCCAGGCUAGAGUGCGGGAGAGGAAAGUGGAAUUCCCAGUGUAGAGGUGAAAUUCGUAGAUACUGGGAGGAACACCGGUGGCGAAGGCGGCUUUCUGGACCGCAACUGACGCUGAGGCGCGAAAGCUAGGGGAGCAAACGGGAUUAGAUACCCCGGUAGUCCUAGCCGUAAACGAUGGGCACUAGGUGUAGGGGGUAUCGACCCCUUCUGUGCCGCAGCUAACGCAUUAAGUGCCCCGCCUGGGGAGUACGGUCGCAAGACUA
rnacentral:rRNA from 1 species